UACAGAGGUCUCAAGCGUUGUUCGGAUUCAUUGGGCGUAAAGGGUGCGUAGGCGGCGCGGUAAGUCGGGGUGUGAAAUCUCGGAGCUUAACUCCGAAACUGCAUUCGAUACUGCCGUGCUUGAGGACUGGAGAGGAGACUGGAAUUUACGGUGUAGCGGUGAAAUGCGUAGAUAUCGUAAGGAAGACCAGUGGCGAAGGCGGGUCUCUGGACAGUUCCUGACGCUGAGGCACGAAGGUCAGGGGAGCAAACGGG
rnacentral:rRNA from 1 species